GAUGAACGCUGGCGGCGUGCCUAAUACAUGCAAGUCGAGCGAACAGACGAGGAGCUUGCUCCUCUGACGUUAGCGGCGGACGGGUGAGUAACACGUGGAUAACCUACCUAUAAGACUGGGAUAACUUCGGGAAACCGGAGCUAAUACCGGAUAAUAUAUUGAACCGCAUGGUUCAAUAGUGAAAGACGGUUUUGCUGUCACUUAUAGAUGGAUCCGCGCCGCAUUAGCUAGUUGGUAAGGUAACGGCUUACCAAGGCAACGAUGCGUAGCCGACCUGAGAGGGUGAUCAGCCACACUGGGACUGAGACACGGUCCAGACUCCUACGGGAGGCAGCAGUAGGGAAUCUUCCGCAAUGGGCGAAAGCCUGACGGAGCAACGCCGCGUGAGUGAUGAAGGUCUUCGGAUCGUAAAACUCUGUUAUUAGGGAAGAACAAAUGUGUAAGUAACUAUGCACGUCUUGACGGUACCUAAUCAGAAAGCCACGGCUAACUACGUG
rnacentral:rRNA from 1 species